rnacentral:lncRNA from 1 species
GGACAGUGAAUGCAUCCGUAUGGAGAAGACAAAUGCUGUCCAUCGAAUCAAAGGAUCAAACAUUCUCUUGUCUCACCGGAAACCCCAUCGACGAUUGCUGGCGGUGCGACCCAAAUUGGGCAGCUAACCGCCAGCGAUUGGCCGACUGUGGUAUAGGGUUCGGGCGAGACGCCAUGGGUGGCAAAGGUGGAAAGAUCUACAUCGUUACCGACUCGUCCGAUUUGGAUCCGACGAACCCAACUCCGGGAAC